CUACGUGCCAGCAGCCGCGGUAAUACGUAGGUGGCAAGCGUUGUUCGGAAUAACUGGGCGUAAAGGAUGCGUAGGCGGUUGAGUAAGUUAUGUGUUAAAUAUAUAGGCUUAACCUGUAGAAAGCACAUAAAACUGUUUAACUAGAGUGCAGGAGAGGUAAGUGGAAUUCCUAGUGUAGCGGUGAAAUGCGUAGAGAUUAGGAAGAACACCAGUGGCGAAGGCGACUUACUGGACUGUAACUGACGCCGAGGCAUGAGAGCAUGGGGAGCA
rnacentral:rRNA from 1 species